CAGGAACGAUGGCGGCCAGUGAAUAACCUGCUAUAAUACAUAUUCAUGGUGGCUGAGACACAACAAAGGUCAUCUUUCCUUGCAUGGAAGAAGAAUCCUACAGAGAAAUGCAAGGCUGCAAAGCAGGUGAGAUGGAUCCUGAGCUAAAUGUUUGCUAGCAGAAAUAGUACAUGGAGCGACCGCACGCUGUCACUAGAGAGCAGUACAGAGGGAAACAAGAUCACGGAGUACAGCGCAGAUCUCCAGCAAGGAUAAAGUGGGAAUGGGAGGAGAGACUGCGAAAGACAGAGACAGAGAAAAGAGGAUGAGAUGCCAAACGCCCCGCUAUUUGACGAGACUUUGGAUGUGAGAGUACAUUGGUGGAGCUCUAGCAGGACUUCCAGGUAAGUUA